rnacentral:lncRNA from 1 species
AUAACGGGCGUUAAUAACCAUACCCUGUUAGACUAAGCAUGGUCCACCCGCGAAUCCUCUACAGAGAUGGCCAAGCGCUGGGGUCGUGGCUGCGUCCUCUAGGCCAGCCUUGUGCAAAGGACCUUCUCACCACAGAUCAGCCAGACCAUCUUCCUCCUUCCAAGUCAUCAAAGAGUUCCAAGCUGGUCACCUGUCCCUUGAUGUUCCCAGGAAACCAGGAAAGAGGACCCCUGCAUUUUAUCUUCCCAUCCAGAGUGGCAGGAUCUCUGCCUGGGAAACAGGCUUCAUUCAGCACAGCUGUGGUAGCAUUAACAAAGCAAAGUGGGCACAUGUAGAAGUUGAAGCUAAAACAUUCAAGAACUCCAGUCUGUUUCUGUGGAUGUUAAGGGGGUGAAGAUAAAACAAUGGAGGUGAUGAGGAGGAAUAACUUGAAGACAGUUUAAAGCCACAGUGAUACAAAGAAUGAAGAGAAGGAAGGUGCUGGAUUUUACUAAGAAAACAGACUGAGUUCAGGAGUCUCACCAGUAGAACUUUAUAGUAUUGCGUUUCGAUUACAUGUGUGUGAAUUUUAAAAACUGAUUACCCUCCAGUAAAAAUGUGGAACCAAUUUGCAUUUGGAUUAAAACAUUAGGUUUGGGGACAAAAGUGGACCCCAUGCUGCCUGAGAUGAAGAGAGAGAGCAGGAUGGCAGAGGAAUCACCAGCUCAAGAAACCCCAAGACUUGGACAGUCUUCCAGCAGAAGAGGCCAGGGUCUCUCAGUGUACUACUCCAAACAGGCCUCUCCUAGAGAUGUAGUCUGGGAAGGUCCAAAACCCACCAGACAGGCACAUCCAGUGGGGAAAAGACUUCCCAUUCCAGUGUGGCCUGCAUCCCUCACCUCUGCUUCCCAGUCUUCUGCUGACCUCAGAGGAGCAGGGUGGCCAUUGCUGAUCUGGGUUAGGGAGAUGCCAGAAACACACCCAGGUUUGAACCACAGGUUAGUGGUACAAAGUCACAGUCCUUG